AGGAACGCUGGCAGCGUGCAUAACACAUGCAAGUUGAACGGGAUUGUUAUCUUCGGAUAACAUGAGAGUAGCGAACGGGUGAGUAACACGUAAGAAUCUACCUUUAGGACGGGGAUAACUUCUGGAAACGGAUGCUAAUACCCGAUAUGCUGUGGAGUGAAAGAAUUUUCGCCUAAGGAUGAGCUUGCGUCUGAUUAGCUAGAUAGCGUGGUAAUGGCACACUAUGGCAACGAUCAGUAGCUGGUCUGAGAGGAUGGACAGCCACAUUGGAACUGAGACACGGCCCGGACACCUACGGGUGGCAGCAGUUUCGAAUCAUUCACAAUGGGCGAAAGCCUGAUGAUGCAAUGCCGCGUGGAGGAUGACGGCCUUAGGGUUGUAAACUCCUGUCAUUAGGGAACAACAAGCAGGUUUAUAGCCUGCCCUGAGUUAACCUAAAGAGGAAGAGGUGGCUAACUCCGUGCCAGCAGCCGCGGUAAUACGGAGACCUCGAGCGUUACUCGGAUUUACUGGGCGUAAAGGGUGAGCAGGCGGCCAGGUGUGUUAGGUGUGAAAUCCCGGGGCUUAACCCCGGAACUGCGCCUAAAACUACCUGGCUAGAGUCUCGGAGAGGACAGUGGAAUUCUAGGUGUAGCGGUGAAAUGCGUAGAUAUCUAGAGGAACACCAGUGGCGAAGGCGACUGUCUGGACGAGUACUGACGCUCAAUCACGAAAGCGUGGGUAGCGAAAGGGAUUAGAUACCCCUGUAGUCCACGCCGUAAACGUUGUGCACUAAGUUUCGGAGGAUUCGACCCCUUCGGAGCUCAAGCUAACGCGUUAAGUGCACCGCCUGAGGACUACGGCCGCAAGGCUAAAACUCAAAGGAAUUGACGGGGGCCCGCACAAGCGGUGGAGCAUGUGGCUUAAUUCGAGGCAACGCGAAGAACCUUACCUGGUCUUGACAUGCCCGUCAUAGUUUUCCGAAAGGAAUUCGUCAGUUCGGCUGGACGGUGCACAGGUGCUGCAUGGCUGUCGUCAGCUCGUGUCGUGAGAUGUUCGGUUAAGUCCGGCAACGAGCGCAACCCUCGUUUCCAGUUGCCAGCGGGUAAUGCCGGGGACUCUGGAAAGACAAACCUCUUGUUGAGGUGGGAAGGUGGGGACGACGUCAAGUCAGUAUGGCCCUUACGACCAGGGCUGCACACGUGCUACAAUGCCCGGCACAAUGGGAUGCAAUAUCGCGAGAUUGAGCAAAUCCACAAAACCGGGCCCAGUUCGGAUUGGAGUCUGCAACUCGACUCCAUGAAGUUGGAAUCGCUAGUAAUGGCGUAUCAGCAAUGACGCCGUGAAUACGUUCCCGGGCCUUGCACUCACCGC
rnacentral:rRNA from 1 species